rnacentral:autocatalytically_spliced_intron from 2 species
GCUAAUGCUUGAGAUUCUCGAGUAUCGACAGACUAUAAAGUCUGAACGAGAGUUCAAAAAGUUGAUGAAAAUGAUAGAUCGUUUCGGUGAGUUAAAUUACUCAAAGAAGCGCCUUAAGCGAGUGCUGACCCCGUAGAGACUACACGUCGGUCUCCCUAAUUUAGGGAUGAAGGUAUAGUCCAAUCCCCACAGUAAUGUGGGA